AUAGCUCAGCUGGUUAGAGCACCUGACUCAUAAUCAGGUGGUCCCUGGUUCGAGCCCAGGU
rnacentral:tRNA from 1 species